GGAGAUUUUUCACAUGGAUCUCUGUUUCUUAAGGUCACCGAGUAACUGUCGGUACGAAAACCCCCCAGAAAACAAUUGGUUCAAGCUAGCUUGAGUUGCUG